CAAAAUUUUGCUGAUGUGACAUGUUAACAUGGCGUUGAGCUAGUAGUGACAUGGCAAGACAGGACUAUGAAAUCAAGUUCUUGUGCUCAUGGUAAUCUGCAUGAGCUCAGCAUACAAAGGCAGGGAUCUGAAAAUCUACCCUUCGGGUUCUCUCAAUAGGUACACCAGAAGGAGGCUUCAAAGGCGGUAAAGGGAAGAUCAGCAAUUGGUGAAGUGUGG
rnacentral:misc_RNA from 1 species